rnacentral:rRNA from 1 species
AGAAUCAACGCUGGCGGCGUGCCUAACACAUGCAAGUCGAACGAGAAAGGGUAGCAAUACCUGAGUAAAGUGGCGCACGGGUGAGUAACACGUGACUAACCUACCCUGGAGUGGGGGAUAACUGGGAGAAAUCCUAGCUAAUACCGCAUAACACCUACGGGUCAAAGGAGCAAUUCGCUUCAGGAGGGGGUCGCGGCAGAUUAGAUAGUUGGCGGGGUAAUGGCCCACCAAGUCAGUGAUCUGUA